rnacentral:rRNA from 1 species
GACGUAGGGCGCGAGCGUUGUCCGGAUUUAUUGGGCGUAAAGAGCUCGUAGGCGGCUUGUCGCGUCGACUGUGAAAACCCGAGGCUCAACUUCGGGCUUGCAGUCGAUACGGGCAGGCUAGAGUUCGGUAGGGGAGACUGGAAUUCCUGGUGUAGCGGUGAAAUGCGCAGAUAUCAGGAGGAACACCGGUGGCGAAGGCGGGUCUCUGGGCCGUACUGACUCGUGAGGAGCGAAAGCUGGGGAGCGAACAGG